rnacentral:tRNA from 1 species
CGCGGGGUGGAGAAGUGGUAUCUCGUCGGGCUCAUAACCCGAAGACCAUUGGUUCAAUUCCAAUCCCCGCAACCA